rnacentral:rRNA from 1 species
AAAAACAUGUCCUUUUGACUUAAAUUUAAGGUUUAGCCUGCUCAAUGAGUUUUAAAUAGCCGCAGUAUCCUAACUGUGCAAAGGUAGCAUAAUCAUUAGUUUUUUAAUUGAAAGCUGGAAUGAAAGGCUGAAUGAGAAAAUAGCUGUCUCUAUAAAAAUUUUAUAGAAUUUUAUUUUUAAGUAAAAAAGCUUAAAUUUUAAUAAAAGACGAGAAGACCCUAUAGAGUUUUAUAUUUAAAAUGUAUAUUUUUUUUUUAGUAUUUUAAAUUUUAUAUUUUUAUAAUAUUUAGUUGGGGUGAUUGGAAAAUUAAAUAAACUUUUCUUUUAAAUUUACAUUUAUAUAUGAAAUUAUGAUCCUUUAAUAAAGAUUAUAAGAUAAAAUUACCUUAGGGAUAACAGCGUAAUUUUUUUUGAGAGUUCUUAUCGAAAAAAAAGAUUGCGACCUCGAUGUUGGAUUAAAAUAAAUUUUUGGUGUAAAAGCUAAAUAAAUUAGGUCUGUUCGACCUUUAAAAUUUUACUUGAUCUGAGUU